CCCUCGCCUCCUGCUUAAUUUCUGGAGAAGCCAAUUGGCUUAACCCCCCCCCCGAUUGACCGUAGCUUUUCCCCAGAGAAGGAGCCGCGCGCGUUAUCUGCCUUCCCCAGUUGGAGUUUGCGGCGUGAGAAAGCGGGGCUGGCGAGCACCUGCCUCUUAGUCAUCCCUGGGCUUGAGGAUGUCCCCAGAUUACAUCUUCUCAGCUGUUUGCAAAACAGCGCUGGGAGGAGCGCGAGCCCCGAAUUACACACAGCCGCGGCUGUCCCUUUAAAUGCUGGGGUCUGCGCGCCGGAGAGGGGAGGGGCCGGCUCCGGAGUGCGUGAAAUUCCUGGGCUCCUCCGACAGUCUCAGGCAGAGCGCUCCGCUCUACGCAUCUCUCCUCGCACGCAACUCGCGGAGAGAGGGGCUGAGGCGCGCCAAAGCUUUCCCUCGCUCCUCGCUGCCUGCAUCGCGCGUUCCCUCAGCCUGCUUCGCAGCCCGCGUUUUUGCGCCUCCGACAACGCCCUCCCGGUCCCGCCUCGCGCUUCCCCUCCCACCACACUCUCUUGCUGAGAGAGAGAGAGAGAGAGAGGCAAGAGACACCCCUGGAUUUCUUAGCGGCCCCCCAAAGAAGGAAACAAACAAAGAGUUGGUUAAACAACCCCACUCGCUUCUCAACUACCAAGCUUUGCAUAGUCUACUGCACUUUAGGUGGAAGUUUGGAAGUUGGCAGAUGCAGGAGAUGCUGUAUCAGGGCGUAGAAAGCAACAACCCCAAACAGCCAAGGUCAAAAACUGUCUUAGGGGCUUGCAUGCAGUGCCAGUACUGUGUUUGUCUAGUGGAUGAGCUGGUCCUAGGACAAUGUGUGCUUGAAGAGAGAGAAGACUGCAGGAGAAUGGGAUGACUAUGCACUGGCAGUUGAUACAAUGAACUAAGGUGAUGUAUGGAUGGUCAUACACUAGGGAUAUACCACCCCCUUUAACUUUAUAUUAAUAUUUUAUACCUCUGUGGUAUGGUGCUGCAGUACCCAGGCCAUCCCUUCCAGUUUCCCUGGCCUGUCUCAUCUCCCAUCCCUAACUCCAUCAUGGGAGAUACAUGGCUGGUUUCCUCUUUCCCACCCAACUGCCUCCUUGCCCCAGUUCUCAUCUCUUCUCCUUUAGCCUCAGUCUUGGAGAGAAAAGGAUGCUUCUCACCCAGGAAACAGGGCUGCAUCCCCUUAUGGCCUUGAUUUGAGCUGCCGCCUUCUCUUCCUUAGUAUGUUGUUGUGUCUAGUUGUGUCUUCCUUUGCUUCCCAUGGGCAGCAGGGGCUCGACCACCAAAUCAGGGCAGGGCAAUAUCUUAUCCUUUCCUCAAGGAUUCAAUUUAUUCAUGUCAACAGGGAUCAGCCCAAGAAACCUGUGUGUGUUGCUCCCCUGUGGCAGGUCAAACGUUCUUUGUUUUCUCUUGUUAGCAUUGAGGGUGGACUUCCUUGUUCCCGAUUCCCACAGCCUCAUUGUAUUUAUAUACACUGUGUCCAGGUGGUGGUGUUGCAGC
rnacentral:lncRNA from 1 species